GGUGACCACGACCCUUGCCUCAGCUUGCCAGUGUGGCCCCAGUCAGCUGACGGUGAUCCUUUCAUCCAGGGAGCAGCAAGGGCCAGCCCAGCCUCCGCCUUGGCCACUGUGGCUGCCUUCACACCUCCUCUCUGCCUGUUGACACAAGGCCACCUCCCCCAGGGCAGAAGGUGUCGACUUGGGAACGAGGGUGUUCGGGGGCCUCCAAAACAGUCCAGCAGCAGGUCCUCUCAGAAACCCCAGAAAGAUUCUCUGGGGUGGGGGUGGGAGGCUGCAGGUCCCCACCCUGGGAGGCCCAGGGAAGAGGUAGGGCCUGUGUCCUGGGGGUUUGGCGUGGGGAAGGGGGGAGUGAGGGAGGACAGGAGUUCCGAAUCCACCGGCCCGUUAGGCCCCUCUCCUGGCUCUGGGGGCUGGUGCAUAACAAGGCCCUGCCCAGCAGAGUGCCAUCAGUGUCACCAGGAGGCCCAGAGACUGAAGCCAACAGGGCAAGGUCAGUCUGACAGGGCCUCACGACCGCCCGGUCUUCUGAGCACUUCUAGACGGCACAGUUGCCCGACACUGUGCCUGCAGGAACCUCGUCAGUGCUCAGACCCCAUGACUUCAAGCCCGUGGUUCUCCCCGUGCUUAGAUGGGCCAGGCCCAGGGAAAUCAGUUCCUUGGCCUUCAUUCCCCAGAGUCAGGAUUCAGACCCACGGAGGCCAGGCAUCACACCAUGGGGAAACUUGUCCCAGGCCGAGGGGAGGCUCCAGGGAGGGCCGAGCCUCUGGGAAUUCAGAACUUGGAGGAGGGGAAAGACAGCUUCUGCGUCUGCGGUGACCUGGUGUACGGGGAGCCCAGGGCCACAGAGAGGCACUACCCAGCCAAGUGAUCUGGGCUGGUCCCGGGGUUGGGGGGGACCCGGAGUUGUGGGUAUUCUCCAAGCGGAGGUGCGGCCGUCCUGGCAGAGGGACAAGGUGGGAGCCCACAUCUGGGAGCCCGAAGCCCAGCACCGGUCUGGGCAGUGCAGGUGGGCCGGGAGCCGUGGGAGAGGCUGUGGUCUAGCGAGCGGUUGGAGGCCGGGUUGGAAAGGCUACUGAGUGGGAAGUUUGGACUGUCAGGGAGGGAGGCAAUGAGAACCACAGACAUCCUGAGGAAGGAGAGGGUGGGAAGGUGAGGAGCUGGAGGCGGGAAGACCGCAGUCACACGGGUGAGGGCUGACCGGGGCAGGGGCU
rnacentral:lncRNA from 1 species